ensembl:lncRNA
AAAAAUUUAUUUUAUACCCUUAGAAGCUAAGAACUCUGCCACUCAAUGCACCAAAUUUAGAAUUAAGAUUCUUCUCUAGUUUAUCUACUUCUUUUUGAAACUUUAUAAACAAGAUUUUGUACACAAGAGGUAGCAGAGGAAAAUUCCAGUCUGCUUGUUCCAAGCUCAAAAGGUAACCGCACACACCUCGAUGUUAGCAGGGAGGGUGGAGCAAGACAGGGUGAGGCUGGGGACACGUGCUCUAAGCCCGCGUCUGUUCUAGCUGUCAGGGCUGUGUGCGGCUCCAGGGGAGGUCGUAGGCCAGGUGCCCCCCGGGGAAGGCUCAGAGGGGCAGUCUGCUUUCUUUCCCAGGAUGCCUCUAAGGGGUCGACUCACCCAUCCUAGGACGGGCUUCAUGAAGGGAACUUCGAGAACACACAGCCUUGACUUAGUUGUGCAAUUCCUACUUGACUGGCAGACCAUUUGGAAAUAUCUAUAAAAACAUUUUCAUCCAAAAAAAUUGGCAGUAAAAACGAUACCUCUUCCAAGGUAAGCCUGUCAGAAUUGUCACUUUGUUGUACUACGUUAGAAAAAAGUCAUCAGCAGGCUUGUAGACCGAAGCCACUGGAAAUCAUGUGGUCACCGGCAAAGUGAAACUGAUGCUCACUGCAGCAACGUAAGCAAACCCAACCAGGGUGUCUAAUAACAGCGACAGCUGAUCCUGAUCCCGAUGAACAGUGCCGUGAGGACAGCAGGUACUGGGGGCUGUGGAAGGCGUUGUUUCCAUAGGAAAUAAGGGAUAGAAGUGGCAAUUUCACUCCUGGAUUUGGGCUCCCGGGAGUGCAGAUGCCAGCGCGAUCUCCCCACACUUUAGCAUGGCCGGCAUUUCGAGGUCACGUCCCACGGGGUUGCUUGGUGAGGAUGGAUGGAGGUGGAGACAGAGUGGGGGUUGGGGGACAGUAGGACACGGGGUAUUUACGUACUCAGAAUCCGUUUUAAAACAUCACAUUUGAAUUUGCAAGUACAUCAGAACCAUAUAAAAAAAGCCGAUUGCCUCCGACCACUCCUCUGGGGCGCUAUUCUGCUCUUUCGUGUCGGCUUUCCACCCACUAGGUGUCUUUGACGAAAGCCGCCACCAGCCUGCGUUAAGUCGAGCAAUUACAGCCUGCGUUAAGUCGAGCAAUUACACCCUGCAGCCCGGCUUCGUGGGAACUGCAAGCUUUAACAGUGAGAUGACAGGGUUUGCAGUGCGCAGCUGGAACAGCUGUCUGUCCUGUCACGUGUCCACUGCGCUUCGAGUGGACUGCAGAUCGAGAUGGGGGCUUCCUAGUUCUGCACACGGUGAGCACAGAACAGGGCAGAGGACACAACUGAAGGCAAACAGGGCGGAAAACGUGUGCAGGGACUCAAACCCCAAAAUGUACAAAAUAUACCAAAUGUGCUGGGAUGUUCCCUUCCCUCCUGAGGAAGGGGGAGCUGGUACCUACGCUGAAAUGAGUGAACGGCGCUGAACUUGGGAAACACGUCGGAAGGGAUGGUUGUUCAGUUGCUUGCUAGUUAUUUCUGGGAAAAUAAAUCUUGUCCCUAUCUUUUUAGGGUGAAUUAGUCCUGUUGAGGAGAAACAAAGUCACACAUUCCUUCUCCGAAUUAAAAUAUGUGGAAACUCACAAAGCAGUAUCUCUCGACUCAAAUAUGUAACUUCAUACACAACCAAUACCAAGGGUUUCAGUAAUUAUGUUUUCAACAAAAGCAAAUGAUUGCAGAUCACAGGAUUUAAGACUACAGUUUAUUCAAUAUGUCUCCAAGCAUUAAAAAGAUGAUUUUAUGAAGUCAAACUCAGUAAGAUUAUAUCUUAAAGUGCUUUUUAUUUUGCUGUUUUUAAACUUUGUUUUGGGAACAACUCCUAACCUCUUUAGGGACUGAUGUCAAACAAUGCACCCUGUCCUUCGGGAGAACACAGCACUUCUUUUCUUUUCUUUUUCUUUUUUUUUAUUGCUCUUUCAAUCUCAAUUAUCUCAGAAAAAUACUUUCAAGAGCUUAAUAAAUUUCCCAAUUUCUGGUCCUGGUAACAUAUCAUCAAGAUCCAAGUUUAUGCCCAGGGCUCUCAUCCAGACCCACCUGAAAUGCUAUACAAAUAGGGAGACAUAUUAAAUACAAAGGUCUGUGUAAACCGAAUUCUUUAACUACUAUUUUACAGCGAAAAGGAAUUUUUUUUAAUCACAUAUCUUUACAACAUUUUAAAUUGGAUAUUCCUAUUCAAUGUUACUGCAAGAUUAAAAAUUUGCCCCCACAUAUCUAAAGGCAGAUUGCUUUUUUUUAAUAUAAAAACCAAAGGAAUUUUUUUUUUUAAUAGCAUCACAGAGAAAGCAACAGCUUUAUCCUCACUCACUCUUGAAUGUUCAUGUAACAAAACAGUCUGUCACCGGCUUUAUUUCCUAAAAUCUCCAGGGAAAUGUUAAUC